rnacentral:rRNA from 1 species
UACGUAGGGUGCGAGCGUUAAUCGGAAUUACUGGGCGUAAAGCGUGCGCAGGCGGCUUUGCAAGACAGAUGUGAAAUCCCCGGGCUCAACCUGGGAACUGCAUUUGUGACUGCAAGGCUGGAGUGCGGCAGAGGGGGAUGGAAUUCCGCGUGUAGCAGUGAAAUGCGUAGAUAUGCGGAGGAACACCGAUGGCGAAGGCAAUCCCCUGGGCCUGUACUGACGCUCAUGCACGAAAGCGUGGGGAGCAAACAGG